CCUACGGGAGGCAGCAGUGAGGAAUAUUGGUCAAUGGACGCAAGUCUGAACCAGCCAUGCCGCGUGCAGGAAGACGGCUCUAUGGGUUGUAAACCUCUUUUGUCGGAGAACAAAACCCGGGACGUGUCCCGGACUGCGUGUAUCCGAAGAAAAAGCAUCGGCUAACUCCGUGCCAGCAGCCGCGGUAAUACGGAGGAUGCGAGCGUUAUCCGGAUUUAUUGGGUUUAAAGGGUGCGUAGGCGGUCCGUUAAGUCAGCGGUAAAAUUGCGGGGCUCAACCCCGUCGAGCCGUUGAAACUGGCAGACUUGAGUGGGCGAGAAGUACGCGGAAUGCGCGGUGUAGCGGUGAAAUGCAUAGAUAUCGCGAAGAACUCCGAUUGCGAAGGCAGCGUACCGGCGCCAGACUGACGCUGAGGCACGAAAGCGUGGGGAGCGAACAGGAUUAGAUACCCUGGUAGUC
rnacentral:rRNA from 1 species